rnacentral:rRNA from 1 species
CCUACGGGUGGCAGCAGUGAGGGAUAUUGGUCAAUGGACGAGAGUCUGAACCAGCGAAGUAGCGUGAAGGAUGACGGCCCUAUGGGUUGUAAACUUCGUUUGUAUGGGAAUAAAAUGUUCCACGUGUAGGAUUUUGUCUGUACCAUUUGAAUAAGGAUCGGCUAACUCCGUGCCAGCAGCCGCGGUAAUACGGAGGAUCCGAGCGUUAUCCGGAUUUAUUGGGUUUAAAGGGAGCGCAGGUGGAUUGUUAAGUCAGUUGUGAAAGUUUGCGGCUCAACCGUAAAAUUGCAGUUGAAACUGGGAGGCUUGAGUACAGUAGAGGUAGGCGGAAUUCGUGGUGUAGCGGUGAAAUGCUUAGAUAUCACGAAGAACUCCGAUUGCGAAGGCAGCUCACUGGACUGCAACUGACACUGAGGCCCGAAAGUGUGGGGAUCAAACAGGAUUAGAUACCCGAGUAGUC